AUUGAACGCUGGCGGCAGGCCUAACACAUGCAAGUCGAACGGUAACAGGAAACAGCUUGCUGUUUCGCUGACGAGUGGCGGACGGGUGAGUAAUGUAUGGGAAACUGCCUGAUGGAGGGGGAUAACUACUGGAAACGGUAGCUAAUACCGCAUAACGUCGCAAGACCAAAGAGGGGGACCUUCGGGCCUCUUGCCAUCGGGUGUGCCCAGAUGGGAUUAGCUAGUAGGUGGGGUAACGGCUCACCUAGGCGACGAUCCCUAGCUGGUCUGAGAGGAUGACCAGCCACACUGGAACUGAGACACGGUCCAGACUCCUACGGGAGGCAGCAGUGGGGAAUAUUGCACAAUGGGCGCAAGCCUGAUGCAGCCAUGCCGCGUGUAUGAAGAAGGCCUUCGGGUUGUAAAGUACUUUCAGCGGGGAGGAAGAGAGUAAAGUUAAUACCUUGACUCAUUGACGUUACCCGAAGAAGAAGCACCGGCUAACUCCGUG
rnacentral:rRNA from 1 species